rnacentral:rRNA from 1 species
CCUACGGGAGGCAGCAGUGGGGAAUAUUGCGCAAUGGGGGAAACCCUGAUGCAGCGACGCCGCGUGGGUGAAGAAGUCUUUCGGUAUGUAAAGCUCUAUCAGCAGGGAAGAAAAUGACGGUUCCUCAUUAAAAAGCCCCGGCUAACUACGUGCCAGCAGCCGCGGUAAUACGUAGGGGGCAAGCGUUAUCCGGAUUUACUGGGUGUAAAGGGAGUGGAGACGGCAGCACAAGUCUGGAGUGAAAUGCAGGGGCUUAACCCCGGAACUGCUUUGGAAACUGUGUAUCUAGAGUGCAGGAGAGGUAAGUGGAAUUCCUAGUGUAGCGGUGAAAUGCGUAGAUAUUAGGAGGAACACCAGUGGCGAAGGCGGCGUACUGGACUGUAACUGACGUUGAGGCUCGAAAGCGUGGGGAGCAAACAGGAUUAGAUACCCGGGUAGUC